GCACAGGAUGGUGGCGCUCCUCUGCAACAGCCAGCGAAACGGAACAAUAAAUAAAACAAAACAAAAACACAACCGAAAGACAAAGAGGCGAAAUCAACCGAGGGAAGAACGAAAGAAAGAAAAAAAGAAAGGAAAGUCGUGAAGACACCCAGGGGUGACGGGUGGGUGAGGAGGGUCCGGAGACGUGGAGCUGGAGGAAGACGCAGAGAAAGAGACGUUUUGUCCUGCUCGUUCUCUCGGUGAAGAUGCUGCAGUCUUGCGUUCAGAGCAUCCCUUCUCUGACUGGCUGCUGGAGGACGCGCAGGGGAGCGGCUGACGUCACGGGGCCUUGAGAUGCCUUCACGUCUUCCCGUAAAGUCGGCAUUCCCUGUUAUUUUUUAACGUAAAUACUCAACUUUUCUUCUGCUUUACCUCUUUUAGUUAAGACUUGAAAACAAAGUAUUACCCCCAGGAACGCGUUUUCUAUUUUGCUCUGCUUUAUUGCAUGUUACUGCUGGACGGGGGCGACAGCCUUCACUACAUCCUACUGACCAUCUUCCACCAGCAGUUUUAGUUUUAUUUAGCGAAGAAGAAGAAGUAAAUGCACAGUUAAACAAAUCUGCAGUGAGAUGGACUAAACGGCCUUAAACUGGAAAUCUGCUCACAUGCGCACCAGUUUAGGGAUGUCUUAUUUUCGACGACACGCGAAGGCAUCACGAGAGAAAGUGAGAGAGGGAGAGAGAGGGUGAGAUACGCGAUUGGCCGAGGUUGUGUUUCUCCAGCACAACGCGGAGGACUGGGAUGUGCGCGGAGUCACAUGACGGACAGGAGAGGAUGCGGCGGCGGGUUCCUGCUCCGUUACAACAGCGGCGAUUGCAGUUGAGACCGAACGGGGCCCUGAACGUCCCGCUGCGGCUGUUUGAAGGUCUGAUGCGAUGCCUGUCAGGAGGGGGCCAGGGGAGCUGCAAACACGCGUGGAAAUGUGCAGGGAAGCUCGCCUUCAGGUCUCUGGGCUUCAGUAGAAAUAUUAGAAAUCAGCAAGAGGAAUCUAACUUGAGAGUUUGGAGGAAGUUUAUCAUUAUUAAAAUAAAUUAAAUU